rnacentral:sRNA from 1 species
AUUCUGCCCGUGCAGGGAAGGAUGAGAAGCUUCGACCAGGUUCGAUUCGAGCGCAGCGAGAAAGCGUUGCCGCAGGCAACGACCCGAAGGGUG